GAUGAACGCUGGCGGCGUGCCUAAUACAUGCAAGUCGAGCGAACAGACGAGGAGCUUGCUCCUUUGACGUUAGCGGCGGACGGGUGAGUAACACGUGGGUAACCUACCUAUAAGACUGGGAUAACUUCGGGAAACCGGAGCUAAUACCGGAUAAUAUUUCGAACCGCAUGGUUCGAUAGUGAAAGAUGGCUUUGCUAUCACUUAUAGAUGGACCUGCGCCGUAUUAGCUAGUUGGUAAGGUAACGGCUUACCAAGGCAACGAUACGUAACCGACCUGAGAGGGUGAUCGGCCACACUGGAACUGAGACACGGUCCAGACUCCUACGGGAGGCAGCAGUAUGGAAUCGUCCGCAAUGGGCGAAAGCCUGACGGAGCAACGCCGCGUGAGUGAUGAAGGUCUUCGGAUCGUAAAACUCUGUUAUUAGGGAAGAACAAACGUGUAAGUAACUGUGCACGUCUUGACGGUACCUAAUCAGAAAGCCGCGGCUAACUACGUG
rnacentral:rRNA from 1 species